GUCGAACGAAGUAGCAAUACUUAGUGGCAGACGGGUGAGUAACAUGUGGGUAUCUUCCCUUUGGCCUGGAAUAACACGAGGAAACUUGUGCUAAUACUGGAUAAGUCUUUACGGAGAAAGCUUUAUGCACCAUUGGAUGAGCCUGCACUUGAUUAGUUUGUUGGUGGGGUAAUGGCCUACCAAGACUUUGAUCAAUAGCUGAUUUGAGAGGAUGAUCAGCCACAUUGGGACUGAGACACGGCCCAAACUCCUACGGGAGGCAGCAGUGGGGAAUCUUGCACAAUGGAGGAAACUCUGAUGCAGCGAUGCCGCGUGAGUGAAGAAGGCCUUUGGGUUGUAAAGCUCUUUCGUCGGGGAAGAAAAUGACUGUACCCGAAUAAGAAGGUCCGGCUAACUUCGUGCCAGCAGCCGCGGUAAUACGAAGGGACCUAGCGUAGUUCGGGAUUACUGGGCUUAAAGAGUUCGUAGGUUGUUGAAAAAGUUGGUGGUGAAAUCCCAAAGCUUAACUCUGGAACUGCCAUCAAAACUUUUCGGCUAGAGUUUGAUAGAGGAAAGCAGAAUUUCUAGUGUAGAGGUGAGAUUCGUAGAUAUUAGAAAGAAUACCAAUUGCGAAGGCAGCUUUCUGGAUCAUUACUGACACUGAGGAACGAAAGCAUGGGUAGCGAAGAGGAUUAGAUACCCUCGUAGUCCAUGCCGUAAACGAUGUGUGUUAGACGUUGGAAAUUUAUUUUCAGUGUCGCAGCGAAAGCGAUAAACACACCGCCUGGGGAGUACGAC
rnacentral:rRNA from 1 species